GUGCUCGCUUUGGCAGCACAUACACUGAAAUGGGAAGGUCACAGAGAUGACCAUGGCCCCCGCACAAGGGUGAGGCACAAGUCUGUGAAGCGUUCCGUACUUUU